rnacentral:rRNA from 1 species
UACGGGAGGGCAGCAGUGGGGAAUAUUGCACAAUGGGCGCAAGCCUGAUGCAGCCAUGCCGCGUGUAUGAAGAAGGCCUUCGGGUUGUAAAGUACUUUCAGUCGUGAGGAAGGUGUUAAGGUUAAUAACCUUAGCAAUUGACGUUAGCGACAGAAGAAGCACCGGCUAACUCCGUGCCAGCAGCCGCGGUAAUACGGAGGGUGCGAGCGUUAAUCGGAAUUACUGGGCGUAAAGGGCACGCAGGCGGUUAAUUAAGUUGGAUGUGAAAUCCCCGGGCUUAACCUGGGAAUGGCAUUCAAGCUGGUUAGCUAGAGUCUUGUAGAGGGGGUAGAAUUCCAUGUGUAGCGGUGAAAUGCGUAGAGAUGUGGAGGAAUACCGGUGGCGAAGGCGGCCCCUGGACAAAGGACUGACGCUCAUGUGCGAAAGCGUGGGGAGCGAAAC